GCCGGGUACGGUGGCACAGGCCUGUAAUCCCAGCAGCUCAGGAGGCUGAGGCAGGAGGAUUGUGAAUUUAAAGCCAGCCUAAGCAAAAGCGAGGUUCUAAGCAACUCAGUGAGACCCUGUCUCUA
rnacentral:sRNA from 1 species